rnacentral:rRNA from 1 species
GACGAACGCUGGCGGCGUGCUUAACACAUGCAAGUCGAACGGAAAGGCCCUGCUUUUGUGGGGUGCUCGAGUGGCGAACGGGUGAGUAACACGUGAGUAACCUGCCCUUGACUUUGGGAUAACUUCAGGAAACUGGGGCUAAUACCGGAUAGGAGCUCCUGCUGCAUGGUGGGGGUUGGAAAGUUUCGGCGGUUGGGGAUGGACUCGCGGCUUAUCAGCUUGUUGGUGGGGUAGUGGCUUACCAAGGCUUUGACGGGUAGCCGGCCUGAGAGGGUGACCGGCCACAUUGGGACUGAGAGACGGACCAGACUCCUACGGGAGGCAGCAGGGGGGAAUAUUGCACAAUGGGCGGAAGCCUGAUGCAGCAACGCCGCGUGCGGGAUGACGGCCUUCGGGUUGUAAACCGCUUUCGCCUGUGACGAAGCGUGAGUGACGGUAAUGGGUAAAGAAGCACCGGCUAACUACGUG